rnacentral:rRNA from 1 species
AUUGAACGCUGGCGGCAGGCCUAACACAUGCAAGUCGAGCGGAUGAAGGGAGCUUGCUCCUGGAUUCAGCGGCGGACGGGUGAGUAAUGCCUAGGAAUCUGCCUGGUAGUGGGGGAUAACGUCCGGAAACGGGCGCUAAUACCGCAUACGUCCUGAGGGAGAAAGUGGGGGAUCUUCGGACCUCACGCUAUCAGAUGAGCCUAGGUCGGAUUAGCUAGUUGGUGGGGUAAAGGCCUACCAAGGCGACGAUCCGUAACUGGUCUGAGAGGAUGAUCAGUCACACUGGAAAGGAGAAACGGUCAAGAAUACUGCGGGAGGCAGCAGUGGGGAAUAUGGGACAAUGGGCGAAAGCCUGAACCAGCCAUGACGAGUGUGUGAAGAAGGUUAUGGGAUUGUAAAGCUCUUUAAGUUGGGAGAAAGGGCAGUACACGAAUACAUUGCGGGUUUGACGUUACCGACAAAAUAAGAACCGGCUAACUUCGUG